GACCUGGUAUUAAACAAAUGCUUGCGAAGCAUUUGCGAUCUUGUAAGCAGGUAGCCAUAGCAACAGUACACGAGUUGAGCGAUUUUUUACGAAAACUUCAUCGGAUGGAACUUUGACAAAACAGUGUCAAUAUUUGACCUUUAUAGUGUUUUUAGUCAUAAACAUAUAUCUGAAGUUAGUCAGGGCACGUAUUUACACCUGGCCUUAAAUACAGGCUUGCGAACAGGUAUUGCAUCUCUUGAGGAGAUCACCAUGGCAACAGUAAGCGACUUGAGCGAUUUAUCGGCUAAAACCAAAACAGUGCCAUUAUUUGUCACUUUAUAGUGUUAUUUAUCAGAAACAUACCUCAAAAAUGUCAGUACAAGUUAGUCAGGACUCAUAAUUUUACCUGGCCUUAAACAAGGGAAUUGAUAUCGGUAACCAUAGCAACAGUAUACGACUUGAGCGCUUUAUGAAAGUGUCAUAAUCGGAUGGAAAGUUAACCAAACAGUGCCGAUAUUUUACAUUUAUAGAUCAGAAAAUAUUUACAUCAUAAACAUAUCUCAAAAAGUCAGUGUUUUGUUAAAGAAAAAAGUCUAACGUUGAUAUUAGCUAACUGGAUCCUCCGAAAUGAACUAAAAGUUUUAACCCUUGAAAGUAUAGCUGUAAUGGCCACAGUAGUAGGCUUAUCUCAGAUAAUUAAAAAGAAUAAUUUAUUUAUGUCAUAAAUGAAACAAAUGUGAGCAUUCAUAACGUUCUUCAUGUGUUCUUUUAUUUGUUCAAUUCCAUCACUGAGGGUCAAUCUCUGUGGUCUCCCCCCUAAACACGGGGCUUCAUUGGACAAUUCCAUCUGAUGAAGUUGAAAAAGGCGAAUCAACCUGUUCCACAGCAGACCCAGAGCCGCUGCGUCUGCUCUCCAGUCCGAACAUGAUCAACACCGGCCGGCUUUCUCCAGAUGAUCGCUCAUGAUGCGCCUUCACCGGGAACGCGUGUGAAUGAAACGCUGGAGAUGUCAACGCGAGAGACUCUAGCGUCAAAAGCCAAAGGUCUGGUCUGAUGGUGAGGAGCGAGCCGAGCAUCCAUGCGCCUCAGCGGACUGUUGCGAAUUGCUGAAAUGCAGUCUCUCAUCUCACCAGUGACUAAGGCUAUCCUUGUAGCUCUGUUUAUUUUUGCCAUUUUGCUCAUCCUCUAUGUGAUACUGUGGUAUAUAUGCAGAGACGUGGACUGUGAUCACGGCAUUUGAUUUUGGAGACCGAAGCUGCGGAUCCGCGGAGAAGUCAGGGUGACCCCGUUUUGCACAAACAGAACGGCUGGGUUGUGACGCCAGAGGACUGGGCUAUGAGACAGUCAGACAGCUGAAGGAUCUGGGAGUUCAUGUCAUAAUCGCUGCUGUUAUGCUGGUUCCUGAAGGUCAAACUGAAGACGGGUUUGAGACUCAUUUUGCCACUAACUAUCUAGGCCACUUUUUGCUGACCCGCCUUCUGCUGGACAGCCUGGUGCAUUCUGGGAAGGAUGGCUCAUGCUCGAGGGUCGUCAGUGUCUCAUCCUCCGCACACUUCGCCGCUGACGCCCGUCUGCAGGAUCUUCUCAGCAUGUGAGUGGAAAAACACAGCACACGUCUGCAGUGGAAAUCAGUGACCCGAAGCCAGACGUAAUCUGCAGAUCUAGAGCGCAAAGAUGCUGGAAUAAAUCACAGAUAGGAGCCAUCCGGCCUGGAGCGAGAGGGCUUGACUCCGGCUGAAGGCUGAGGUUUCUCCGCAUCCGGAAGGAGUCGAUGGAUGGUCCUCAGCAGCGUCUUACGAUGAAGAUCUUCAGGCUGGACUCUGGAGAAACACCUGCGAUCUGCUGGACCUCCAGGACUCGGAGCUCCUUCGCUAACAUCAGCGCAGCUGAAGAAUGAACGAUGGACAAUCUCACACCGGAGAACUGUGAGGAGUCGCGUCGCUCCCGUUAUUUAUGCUUCUUCUGAAGGGCUCGGCGCUGUUGGAGGAUCACUGUGAACCACUGUGAGUGUCGAGCUUCAAAGCUCCUUUCCAGCGAAAUCUCCUGUGCUGCUGUACUUCAUUCUCUUCACACAAACCUCUGCUGCGUUUCUUUGGGCUCCUGAUCUGUAUUAUUAACCAAUGACACCUUCUUAAAAGUCAACACGACGGACUCAUUCCCUUAUAUCCAUGCUCUUAUUGUGAAUGAUUCAUCAGUGCGCGUUAUUUCGAGUAAGUAAUACGUUUGUCUUUGUAAUCGUUCAUCGUGUUCCCCAGCUAACUGGAAACGUUCCUAUAACGUUCUUUAAAGGUUAUGUGAAUGUUAAGACAGGCAUUCUUAGAAUAAUGUUUUAAUCUACGUUCUCGUAAUGUUGAGCGGAAACGUUCUCGGAAUAUACUUACGAUGUUAUUAGUACGUUCUCGGAACUUCAUGUUCGAUAAGAUUCAUCAGUAGCAACAAUGUGACGUUCUCGUAACGUUAUCAAAAUGAUCAAAUGGAAUGCAGUUGUUCUCAAACUUUUUAGGCAUUUAACGUCUUUCUGCGUACCCCUUCUCUCACGCUAGUCACAAAGUAUUUUAAAAACGUGCAUAUCAUUUGUAUGCAACCUAUUGUAUAUUUUUAAAUAAAUGACUAACCGAUGCACAUGUUGAAACAGAUGAUGCAACCCUCCUCUCCUUCUACACUUUUAAGCGUACCUGUUUGCCACCUUACCUUAUAUUUUUCCCUUCUCUUUUAUUCCACAUGAGUUUGAGAACCGCUGCUCUAAUGUUCUCAUUACCAAGAAAAUCAUGCGUAUAACUACGUCAACUGUGUUUAAAUGUUGAGAGGACAUUCAAAUGUAACAUUCUCAUAAUGUUUUAAAAAUGAUAGAAUGUAACAUUCCUCUAACAUUUAGAAAUGUUCUUUAAACAUCAGAACGGGUGAUUUGAGAGAACAUUUAAAUGUAACAUUUUCACAAUGUUUUCAAACUGAUAAAGGGAUUUUUUUCACUAAUUUCUGCAAGACAAAGAAAAAAGGUUCCUUAAAUAUGAUAAAAAUUGGUGUUGUAAAAGUUAAGAGAAUGUUCUCAUGCUGCAAAACCAGGAAAAAUUCUUAAUACAUAAACAUGUGUUUUCAACAUGUAAAAAAAAAAAAAAAAUUUAAUGAUUUCAAAAUGAUAAGAUGGAAUAUUCCAAAACCAAAAAGAAACAUUCUUUAUAAAAAUGGGUGCGUUUUCAAAAUGAUUGAAUGGAAUAUUUCUCUAAUGUUCACAUAACCAAAAAGAAACGUUCUUAAUGCAUCAAAAAAUCUGUACAUUUUCACAUUUAAAAAACAUUCAAAAUAACGCUUUCACAACUUAAUGUUAAUGUUGGCAAAACAUUCUUAGAAGGUCUUUUGUUAGCUGGGUCUAAACUCUCUUUCGUUAUGAUUAAAAUGGUUUGCAAACAGCGUUUGAUGUAGAGUUUUACUGUACUGCUCAACCUCUUGUGAACAGCAAAAACACACCGUUGUGCAAUCAAUACUUACAUUUAUUAACAAUGAUAACUAAGUUAUCAAUUAUUCCUCCAAGUGUUGUUCAUAAAUGCAAUUUUUCACAAUGAAAUUAACAUGCAUUUGAUUUACAGCAGGAUUCAGAGUAUGAGCGAUUCAUUCACAGUCCAUCAUUUUAAGAAAACAUCCAUAUUUUCAUGUUCAGAACUCUUGAAUUUAUCCUUUCACAAGACUGAAAUGCAGAAGCAUGAUUUGGUAUAUGACAAGCUCAUAUUGUUAUUCAAUCACACUCAUGUUCAAUGGUGCCAAAUGCAAAAUUAUACUAAACUUUGAAGGAAUAAUUGAGUGAAAAUGAUCGACUGUCCUGCAAACACAAACCCGAACGAAUUUCUCUCGUGUCUCACUGUCAACGUUUUUCUAUGAAAAUCUAAGAAACUGAAAGAAAGCAGGUGAAUCUUGGAACUACGGACUCUGGAUAUUGAUUUUUGAAUUUGCCUAAAAUAAUAACAGCGUUGCAUCUUGUGUUGUCUGAUGUUUUGUUUCUGAACUCAUGCUGUAAGCGUAGCUCUCUUUGAUUCAGGUCUGCUGUGUGAUAUUAAUUACUGUAGGUGUUAUUAAUAUUCUGUACUCUGAUGUCAGUGUCAUGCGUGUUGUGUUCACACACGUUCAUUUCUUCAGGAUGAAGCGCUGAUCACAGAUGAUGGUUCAUCUUCAUCUUUCAGAAGCUGUUAGGAUUAAAACAAUUUGCACUGUAAAAAAAAAUAAAUAAAAAAUUUGAGAGAUUUGCUAAAUGCUUUUAUGAUCUUGCAUAUGAAAUGCACUUUAGCAAGUAUAAUUUUGAAUGCAGGUGACAGUGUGACAUUGCACAGGUAAAUCUCACAAUAAAAAAUAAAAAUAAUAUUUAAUCCAAAAAAUAAUAAUAAAAUG